UUCUGGUUGAUCCUGCCGGAGGCUACCGCUAUUGGAGUUCGAUUAAGCCAUGCGAGUCGAGAGUCUUAGGGACUCGGCGUACCGCUCAGUAACACGUGGGUAACCUGCCCUAUGCUGGGGAAUAACCUCGGGAAACUGAGAAUAAUGCCCCAUAGUCCACAAUGCCUGGAACGGUUUGUGGAUUAAAGCCCCGGCGGCAUAGGAUGGGCCUGCGGCGUAUCAGGUUGUAGGGGGUGUAACGUACCCUCUAGCCAUCAACGCGUACGGGUGUUGGGAGACAUAGCCCGGAGAUGGAUUCUGAGACACGAAUCCAGACCCUACGGGGUGCAGCAGGCGCGAAAACUUGGCAAUGCGAGAAAUCGUGACCAGGGAACUCCAAGUGGCUGGGGUAAGACCCAGUCUUUUCUUGACUCUUCAAAGGUCUUGGAAUAAGAGGUGGGUAAGGACGGUGCCAGCCGCCGCGGUAAUACCGGCGCCUCAAGUGGUAGUCGAUUUUAUUGGGCCUAAAACGUCCGUAGCCUGUUUGGUACAUUCGUGGGUAAAUCAACCAGCUCAACUGGUUGAAUUCUGCGAGCACGGCCAGACUUGGGACCGGGAGAGGUGUGGGGUACGCUCAGGGUAGGGGUAAAAUCCUGUCAUCCUGAGCGGACCACCUGUUGUGAAGGCGCCACACUAGAACGGAUCCGACGGUCAGGGACGAAGCCUAGGGGCACGAACCGGAUUAGAUACCCGGGUAGUCCUAGGUGUAAACGCUGUGGACUUGGUGUUGGGGAUUCUCCGAGGAUCUUCAGUGCCGAAGCGAAGGUGGUAAGUCCACUGCCUGGGGAGUACGGUCGCAAGGCUGAAACUUAAGGGAAUUGGCGGGGGAGCACCGCAACCUGAGGAUUGUGCGGUUUAAUUGGACUCAACGCCGGAA
rnacentral:rRNA from 1 species